GAUGAACGCUGGCGGCGCGCCUAACACAUGCAAGUCGAACGAUUAAAGCACCUUCGGGUGUGUAUAAAGUGGCGAACGGCUGAGUAACACGUGGGCAACCUGCCCCUUUCAUUGGGAUAGCCACGGGAAACCGUGGAUAAUACCGAAUACUUCGAGACUUCCGCAUGGAAGACUCGAGAAAGCUCCGGCAGAGAGGGAUGGGCCCGCGGCCUGUUAGCUUGUUGGUGGGGUAACGGCCUACCAAGGCAAUGAUGGGUAGCUGGGUUGAGAGACCGACCAGCCAGAUUGGGACUGAGACACGGCCCAGACUCCUACGGGAGGCAGCAGUGGGGAAUCUUGCACAAUGGGCGAAAGCCUGAUGCAGCGACGCCGCGUGCGGGAUGAAGGCCUUCGGGUUGUAAACCGCUUUCAGCAGGGACGAGGCGAAAGUGACGGUACCUGCAGAAGAAGCCCCGGCUAACUACGUG
rnacentral:rRNA from 1 species